GGAUGGGUGGCAGAGCGGUUGAUUGCACUAGUCUUGAAAACUAGCGGGCCCGCAAGGGUCCCGGGGGUUCAAAUCCCUCCCCAUCCGCCA
rnacentral:tRNA from 1 species